rnacentral:lncRNA from 1 species
GUGGAUUUUGCAGUUUAUAAAUUUUUCAUUUUGUUGCAUGCUUGUUAUAUGUCUGCCUUUUGGUUUUUUUUUAUGUUUGAUCGUCUUCUUCAACCUCACCUCAUUAUGUACUUCGAUUGAGUCCAGCUAGCUAUUUCAUGUUUUGAACGUGUCUAUUUUACAGUGUGUACGUCUUUUUGCGGAGGAGUCGACUCCAGAUGGUUGCUGUUUUUUUACAAACCAUUAUUUGACUAAAGUUCCUAUUUCCUAAAGAUUUACUUGUCAAGACAAAAACCAAGUCCUUAUCUGAUGCAUUAAUCAAAAAGAAAUAUGUAUACUGAAGAAAUGUAUAUGGUGUACAAGUUUUGCUGAUUCAUCAAAAAAUAUUCCCUUUAAGCCAACUAUUUGGAAAGAUCAAUAUGAGCAUGUCCAGAUUAAUGAACAACAAUUGCGGAGUCUUCCACAUUUCAGAACAAGACUGGAUCUAUAUGUGUAUUAUAACAUUUGUCCACACUUCUAAAUUACAUAAAACCGGUGUAGUUUUUUGUAGGUUUUUUUUUAGAUUUUAAUUUCGUAUGCAGUGUUUUGUGGUCUUGUGUUUAUCUUUUCGGGUUUUUUUAUUGCUCCCAUUUUGUUGGUCUAUCUUUCCAUAUUGUCUCUUUUGUCUUUUUUGUGUUAACUCUAACAAAUAUUGUGCAUUUAACGUUAAUAUGAUUCCAACAUUGUAGUGUUGGUAAUACCUGUUUAUUUUCUGUCUUUAACAUAGUGUAAUUUAUUACACAGCCUUACCAUAGUGAGUGGGGUAUAAUUAAACGCUUCAG